AAAAUGUAACGGGGCUAAGCGUAACACCGAAGCUUGGGAUGCAGCAAUGCAUGGUAGGGGAGCGUCGAAUACGGGGUGAAGUCGCAGCGGGAGCAGCGGUGGACUGUAUUCGAGUGAGAAUGCCGGAAUGAGUAGCGAGAAUUAUGUGGGAAUCAUAAUGGCUGAAAAUCUAAGGUUUCUUGGGGAAGGUUCGUCCGCCCAAGGUAAGCCGGGAGCUAAGGCGAGGCCGAGAGGCGUAGUCGAUGCACAUACGGUUGAAAUUCCGUAGCCACCGAAACUUAAGCUAGAAGGACACUUGGAGCUAUCCAGACCCGGGCGUUGGUUGACCCGGGCGAAAGGGACCGAAAAUAAGUAGGGAAGCUGGAGAAUGACGAGGCGAGAAAAGUUCUAGUGUAUGCUAAGGUGCCCGUACCGCAAACCGACACAGGUAGAUGAGGAGAGAAUCCUAAGGCCAACGGGAGAAGGGUUGUUAAGGAACUCGGCAAAAUUACCCCGUAACUUCGGGAUAAGGGGAGCUCCCUAAGGGGAGCCGCAGAGAAUAGGCCCAAGCGACUGUUUACCAAAAACACAGGUCUAUGCUAAAUCGAAAGAUGACGUAUAUGGGCUGACGCCUGCCCGGUGCUGGAAGGUUAAGAGGAGGGCUUAGCGCAAGCGAAGGUCUGAAUUGAAGCCCCAGUAAACGGCGGCCGUAACAAUAACGGUCCUAUGGUAGCGAAAUUCCUUGUCAGGUAAGUUCUGACCCGCACGAAUGGCGUAACGAUUUGGGCGCUGUCUCAACAGCCCACCCGGCGAAAUUGUAGUACCGGUGAAGAUGCCGGUUACCCGCAACUAGACGGAAAGACCCCAUGGAGCUUUACUGUAGCUUAAUACUGAGGAUUGGUAAAUCAUGUACAGGAUAGGUGGGAGACAUGGAAGCCUGGGCGUCAGCUCAGGUGGAGUCACCCUUGGGAUACCACCCUUGAUUUACUGGUUUUCUAACCUGCGGCCGUGAAUCCGGCCGGGGGACACUGUUAGGUGGGCAGUUUGACUGGGGCGGUCGCCUCCUAAAAGGUAACGGAGGCGCUCAAAGGUUCGUUCAGCACGGACAGAAAUCGUGCAGUGAGUGUAACCGCAUAAACGAGCCUAACUGCGAGACCGACGGGUCGAGCAGUAACGAAAGUUGGAGUUAGUGAUCCGGCGGUAUGUGAGUGGAAAUGCCGUCGCUCAACGGAUAAAAGCUACCCUGGGGAUAACAGGCUGAUCUCCCCCAAGCGUCCACAGCGACGGGGAGGUUUGGCACCUCGAUGUCGGCUCGUCACAUCCUGGGGCUGAAUUCGGUCCCAAGGGUUCGGCUGUUCGCCGAUUAAAGUGGCACGCGAGCUGGGUUCAGAACGUCGUGAGACAGUUCGGUCCCUAUCUGUUGCGGGCGUAAGAGAUUUGAAGGGAGCUGUCCUUAGUACGAGAGGACCGGGAUGGACAGACCUCUGGUGCACCAGUUGUCCUGCCAAGGGCACAGCUGGGUAGCUACGUCUGGACGAGAUAAACGCUGAAAGCAUCUAAGCGUGAAACUCUCCCUAAGAUUAGAUCUCUCAUCCUUUAUGGAGUAAGGCUCGACGUAGACUAUGUCGUUGAUAGGUCGGAGGUGGAAGUGCUGCGAGGCAUGUAGCUGACCGAUACUAAUAAGCCGAGGGCUUGACCU
rnacentral:rRNA from 1 species